AUUGAACGCUGGCGGCAGGCCUAACACAUGCAAGUCUAGCGAGCGGCGGACGGGUGAGUAAUGUAUGGGGACUGCCCGAUAGAGGGGGAUAACUACUGGAAACGGUUGCUAAUACCGCAUACUAUCGGAUAACCCAUAUGGGAUUAGCUAGUAGUUGGGGUAAAGAGUCACCUAGGCGACGAUCUCUAGCUGGUCUGAGAGGAUGAUCAGCCACACUGGGACUGAGACAGGGCCCAGACUCUUACGGAGGCAGAAGUGGGGAAUAUCGCACAAGGGGCGAAAGCCUGAUGCAGCCAUGCCGCGUGUAUAAAGAAGGCCUUAGGGUUGUAAAGUACUUUCAGCGGGGAGGCAUUACCCGCAGAAGAAGCACCGGCUAACUCCGUGCCAGCAGCCGCGGUAAUUC
rnacentral:rRNA from 1 species